rnacentral:rRNA from 1 species
CCUACGGGUGGCAGCAGUAGGGAAUUUUUCACAAUGAGCGAAAGCCUGAUGGAGCAACGCCGCGUGCGGGAUGAAGGCUUUCGGGUUGUAAACUGCUAUCAUAAGGGAGAAAAAUGAUGGUAACUGAUUAAGAAGCCUCGGCUAACUACGUGCCAGCAGCCGCGGUAAUACGUAGGGUGCGAGCAUUAUCCGGAUUUACUGGGUGUAAAGGGUGCGUUGGGAGGAGCACAAAGUAGUGAGUGAAAUCGGGUGGCUAAACCCAUCAGACUAUUAGCAAAACUGUGAAGCUCGAGAGCGUGAGGGGUAAGUGGAAUUUCUAGUGUAGGAGUGAAAUGCGUAGAUAUUAGAAGGAACACCAGUAGCGUAGGCAGGUUACUGGAAUGGAUCUGACAUUGAGGCACGAAAGCGUAGGGAGCAAACGGGAUUAGAUACCCUGGUAGUC